rnacentral:rRNA from 1 species
UACGUAGGGUGCAAGCGUUAAUCGGAAUUACUGGGCGUAAAGCGUGCGCAGGCGGUUUUGCAAGACAGAUGUGAAAUCCCCGGGCUCAACCUGGGAACUGCAUUUGUGACUGCACAGCUUGAGUGCGGCAGAGGGGGAUGGAAUUCCGCGUGUAGCAGUGAAAUGCGUAGAUAUCGGAAGGAACAUCAGUGGCGAAGGCGACUUCCUGGACCAAUACUGACGCUCAGGUGCGAAAGCGUGGGGAGCAAACAGG